rnacentral:rRNA from 1 species
UACAGAGGGUGCGAGCGUUAAUCGGAAUUACUGGGCGUAAAGCGUGCGUAGGCGGAUAUUUAAGUCGCAUGUGAAAUCCCUGGGCUUAACCUGGGAACUGCAUCCGAUACUGGAUAUCUCGAGUAUGGUAGAGGAAAGUGGAAUUCCCGGUGUAGCGGUGAAAUGCGUAGAUAUCGGGAGGAACAUCAAUGGCGAAGGCAACUUUCUGGACCAAUACUGACGCUGAGGUACGAAAGCGUGGGGAGCAAACAGG